rnacentral:rRNA from 1 species
CGGAAGGAUCAUUAAUGAAUAAUCUUGGCGUGGUUGUAGCUGGCCCUCCCCGGGUAAUGUGCUCACGGCGUCAUCUUUAUCUCUCCACCUGUGCACCUUUUGUAGACUUGGAAACUUUUUAGUAAGUAAAGGCUUUUAAUUGAGCUUUUGAACACACAUAGUUUCCAAGGCUAUGUUUUUUCAUAUACCCUAAUGUAUGUAACAGAAUGUAUCAUUGGGCUUUUAUGCCUAUAAACUAUAUACAACUUUCAGCAACGGAUCUCUUGGCUCUCGCAUCGAUGAAGAACGCAGCGAAAUGCGAUAAGUAAUGUGAAUUGCAGAAUUCAGUGAAUCAUCGAAUCUUUGAACGCACCUUGCGCUCCUUGGUAUUCCGAGGAGCAUGCCUGUUUGAGUGUCAUUAAAUUAUCAACCAUAAACAUUUUUUUGUAUUAUGGCUUGGAUAUGGGGGAUUUGCAGGCUCUUUCACUAGAGUCGGCUCCUCUGAAAUGUAUUAGCCAGUGCCCCGCAGUGGACUGUCUAUUGAUGUGAUAAUUAUCUACGUCAUUAGAUGUCUGCAACUUUAAAAUGGGUUUUGCGCUGCUUCUAACCGUCCCUUUUAUAAGGACAAUUUUUGACCAUUUGACCUCAAAUCAGGUAGGACUACCCGCUGAACUUAAGCAUAUCAAUAAGCGGAGGAAAAGAAACUAACAAGGAUUCCCCUAGUAACUGCGAGUGAAGCGGGAAAAGCUCAAAUUUAAAAUCUGGCGGUCUCUGGCCGUCCGAGUUGUAAUCUAGAGAAGCAUUAUCCGCGCUGGACCGUGUACAAGUGUCCUGGAAUGGAACAUCAUAGAGGGUGAGAAUCCCGUCUUUGACACGGACUACCAGGGCUU